GGGACUGUCUCCCGAUGGCGAGAAUGACCUUGCUGAACAAACUGGCCUUCAGACAGCUUUUAAGGCUUAUUUGAAAGCAUGCGCAGAAGAAUGUGCGAAUGUGACUGGAGACAUUCGUGAAAUAUGUCAUGAGAAGAUCCCCGUGUUCUUUCUUGCGUAUGCUCAGACUAAGUGCAGAAUAACAGACGAAGCUAUGCGCGAGCAAGGACGAGGACAUCUCGGAUACAGCCAUCGGCCGAACAAGUAAGAAAAAAAUGUCGGGUCAGAAAAC